rnacentral:rRNA from 1 species
AAUUUCAUUCCAUACUGAAUGCUCCCGAUCUCCUCUGAUCUCAGAAGCUAAGCAGGGUCGGACCUGAAUUGUACUUGGAUGGGAAACCGCCUUGGAAUUUCAUACUGUAUAUCGAAUUA